rnacentral:rRNA from 1 species
CCCUUAGAUGUUCUGGGCCGCACGCGCGCUACACUGAUGCAUUCAACGAGUCUAAAACCUGCUCUGAUAGGGGUGGGUAAUCUUUUGAAUGUGCAUCGUGAUUGGGAUAGAUGAUUGCAAUUUUUCAUCUUCAACGAGGAAUGCCUAGUAAACGCAAGUCAUCAGCUUGCAUUGAUUACGUCCCUGCCCUUUGUACACACCGCCCGUCGCUCCUACCGAUUGAAUGAUCCGAUGAAUAUCAUGGAUUGAGGAUGCAAGUAGGUUCGCCUAUCUUCAUCUUCGAGAAGUGAAGUAAAUCUUAUCAUUUAGAGGAAGGAGAAGUCGUAAC